rnacentral:rRNA from 1 species
UACGAAGGGGGCGAGCGUUGUUCGGAUUUACUGGGCGUAAAGGGCGCGCAGGCGGCGAUCUUUGUCAGGCGUGAAAGCCCCGGGCUCAACCUGGGAACUGCGUUUGGGACGGGAUUGCUAGAGAUCGGGAGAGGAGAGUGGAAUUCCCAGUGUAGAGGUGAAAUUCGUAGAUAUUGGGAAGAACACCAGUGGCGAAGGCGGCUCUCUGGGACGGUACUGACGCUGAGACGCGAAAGCGUGGGGAGCGAACAGG